AGAAAUCCCCGCUGUCCCCAGGCACCCAUGCAAGGAAAGUCACUUGAUUAUGAAAGUGUUUCAGAAGAAAAGCAGACGCGGGUGGAGAGAGAGGCAGUGUCUCGAAGGAGGGAACAAGGCUCUCUUAAGACAUGUUUUGCAGCUCCCUGAAACCGAAAUCUGGUUGAACAGUAUUUAGAAUUCUACCUUUUAACCAUUUCCUGUCACAGCCCACAUUCAAGCUACUUUAGAAUCUCAAAGCUUGCUUUUGCCUGAACUGCUUUCCCAAACAUCCACAAGUCAGGACCAGUUUUGCUUCCGAUUUAGCAGUUCUGGAAAAGAGUUAAGGGAGACAAAGGAAAACAAUCGGUUGAAAUAGAGAAGAAAGGGGAAGCUCCUUCCACCUAUACCAACCUGCCCUGGCACAUCAAGCUUCAACAGGACUAGGUGCAUCCCCUCACACUGAGUGACAGGCAUUGAAAGAUACUUCUUAGAAAAUGUCGACUCAUCUGUAAUGAAGUACUGCUCUGAGGUGGCUGUCUAUAAAACAAAGAUAUGUGUACACUUUGUAUGCUGAAGCCCAUUCUCUCCUCUUCCUUUCCCUUUGGAAAAGGGCAGGCCUCCUGGGAUAGCAACCUAUACCAGCAUGCUAAGGCUGGAAGAAUCAACCCAAUGGGAGGAAAAGGGUUCCAAAAACAGGCAAGAGCAUCAGAGACAGCCCUUGCUCCCACUGUUAGGAGUCCAACAAGAAG
ensembl:lncRNA